GACGAACGCUGGCGGCGUGCUUAACACAUGCAAGUCGAACGGAAAGGCCCUGCUUUUUUGGGGUGCUCGAGUGGCGAACGGGUGAGUAACACGUGAGUAACCUGCCCUUGACUUUGGGAUAACUUCAGGAAACUGGGGCUAAUACCGGAUAGGAGCUCCUGCUGCUUUGUGGGGGUUGGAAAGUUUCGGCGGUUGGGGAUGGACUCGCGGCUUUUCAGCUUGUUGGUGGGGUAGUGGCUUACCAAGGCAUUGACGGGUAGCCGGCCUGAGAGGGUGACCGGCCACCGUAGGACUGAGGUAAGGCACAGACUCGUACGGGAGGCAGCGGUGGGGAAUAUUACACAAAACGCGGACGCCAGAUGGAGCCCCCCCGCGUGGGAGAGGACGGCAUUCAGGUUGGAAACCGCUUUCGCCUGUGACGAAGCGUGAGUGACGGUAAUGGGUAAAGAAGCACCGGCUAACUACGUG
rnacentral:rRNA from 1 species